rnacentral:snRNA from 1 species
GAGCCCCCUCUGGCAGCACAUCUCCUAAAAUUGGACCGACACAGAGAAAAUCAGCAUGGCCCUUUUGCCAGGAUGACACACAAAUUUGUGAAGCAUCCCGUAUUUUA